GUAGUCCAUGCCGUAAACGUUGGGCGCUAGGUGUGGGGCUCAUUCCACGAGUUCCGUGCCGCAGCUAACGCAUUAAGCGCCCCGCCUGGGGAGUACGGCCGCAAGGCUAAAACUCAAAGGAAUUGACGGGGGCCCGCACAAGCGGCGGAGCAUGCGGAUUAAUUCGAUGCAACGCGAAGAACCUUACCAAGGCUUGACAUGGGGUGAAAACUCGCAGAGAUGCGGGGUCCGCAAGGGCGCCUCACAGGUGGUGCAUGGUUGUCGUCAGCUCGUGUCGUGAGAUGUUGGGUUAAGUCCCGCAACGAGCGCAACCCUCGUUCUAUGUUGCCAGCACGUGAUGGUGGGGACUCAUAGGAGACUGCCGGGGUCAACUCGGA
rnacentral:rRNA from 1 species